GACUGGUCUGAUGGUAGUGAUUUAUCAGAACUUAUUAACAUUUGUGUCUCUAAAGUUGGUUAUAUAGCCCACCACUGGUAAAUUUGACUGGCUUAA
rnacentral:Y_RNA from 1 species